AGUGAACGCUGGCGGUAGGCCUAACACAUGCAAGUCGAACGGCAGCACAGGAGAGCUUGCUCUCUGGGUGGCGAGUGGCGGACGGGUGAGGAAUACAUCGGAAUCUACUUUUUCGUGGGGGAUAACGUAGGGAAACUUACGCUAAUACCGCAUACGACCUACGGGUGAAAGCAGGGGACCUUCGGGCCUUGCGCGAUUGACUGAGCCGCUGUCGGAUUAGCUAGUUGGCGGGGUAAAGGCCCACCAAGGCGACGAUCCGUAGCUGGUCUGAGAGGAUGAGCAGCCACACUGGAACUGAGACACGGUCCAGACUCCUACGGGAGGCAGCAGUGGGGAAUAUUGGACAAUGGGCGCAAGCCUGAUCCAGCCAUACCGCGUGGGUGAAGAAGGCCUUCGGGUUGUAAAGCCCUUUUGUUGGGAAAGAAAUCCAGCCGGCUAAUACCUGGUUGGGAUGACGGUACCCAAAGAAUAAGCACCGGCUAACUUCGUGCCAGCCGCCGCUGUAACAC
rnacentral:rRNA from 1 species